rnacentral:tRNA from 1 species
CGCGGGAUGGAGCAGCCAGGUAGCUCGUCAGGCUCAUAACCUGAAGGUCACAGGUUCAAAUCCUGUUCCCGUAACCA